rnacentral:rRNA from 1 species
GUUGGGUUAAGUCCCGCAACGAGCGCAACCCUUGAUCUUAGUUGCCAGCAUUCAGUUGGGCACUUUAAGGUGACUGCCGGUGACAAACCGGAGGAAGGUGGGGAUGACGUCAAAUCAUCAUGCCCCUUAUGACCUGGGCUACACACGUGGUACAAUGGAUGGUACAAAGGGGUGCAAACCUGCGAAGGUAAGCGAAUCCCAUAAAGCCAUUCUCAGUU